rnacentral:tRNA from 1 species
GGGAAUGUAGCUUAGUGGUAGAGUGCUUGCCUAGCAUGCAUGAAGCCCUGGGUUCAAUUCCGUAGUACCA